AGAGUUUGAUCAUGGCUCAGAAUGAACGCUGGCGGCGUGCUUAACACAUGCAAGUCGUGCGCGAAGGUGGCUUCGGCUGCCGGAGAGCGGCGAACGGGUGAGUAACACGUGGGUAAUCUGCCUGGGAGCGGGGGAUAACCUGGGGAAACUCGGGCUAACACCGCAUACGUUGGUGGGGAUGCGUCUUCAUCAAGAAAGCUGGCCUCUGCUUGCAAGCUAGCGCUCCCAGAGGAGCCCGCGGCUGAUUAGCUAGUUGGUGAGGUAAUGGCUCACCAAGGCGACGAUCAGUAGCCGGCCUGAGAGGGUGAUCGGCCACACUGGGACUGAGACACGGCCCAGACUCCUACGGGAGGCAGCAGUGGGGAAUAUUGGACAAUGGGCGCAAGCCUGAUCCAGCAACGCCGCGUGGAGGAUGAAGGUCUUCGGAUCGUAAACUCCUGUCAGGUGGGACGAAGGUCUGGGGGUGAAUAAUCUUCAGAUUUGACGGUACCACCAGAGGAAGCCCCGGCUAACUCCGUGCCAGCAGCCGCGGUAAUACGGAGGGGGCGAGCGUUAUUCGGAAUUAUUGGGCGUAAAGGGCGCGUAGGCGGCUUGACAAGUCAAAGGUGAAAUCCCUCGGCUCAACUGAGGAACUGCCUUUGAAACUGUCUGGCUUGAGGCCGGGAGGGGGUAGCGGAAUUCCCAGUGUAGCGGUGAAAUG
rnacentral:rRNA from 1 species